rnacentral:piRNA from 1 species
UGGUUGUGUCAUUGUCCCCAUGUUACA